rnacentral:lncRNA from 1 species
CUGGUGACCAAUUAGCCGGUCACAUGCCUCGGAUGUUAUGGCUGUGAUCUUUGUGCGGGUGGUUGGUGAGCUCACCUACAGCCUUUGUGUCUUCAUCUCAGUGAGGGAAAGUUAGUUUAGGUUCCUUCUUGGUGCACACACUCACAUUUUAGCAAACAGGUGAUGGGAAAAGAAAAAUGUGGAGUUUGAACAUGGGCUUUUGAGAUGAAAGAUUGCAUCUUUUACAUGAAUUAUGCUGGUGGCUAAUUAGCCAGUCACAUUGCACAGCUUUUAUUGCUGUCUGUUAUUUGUGAAUGGUCAGUAAGUUACCUAUAAGAAUCUAGUGUUUGCAUCUCUUUGGGGGAACUGAAUUGUGGUUCCCUUUGGAUGCAUCCACGCACAUUUUAACAAAUAGGCUAUGUAUGUAGAAGAAUGAAGAGUUUAUUAUAGGUUUUGAACUGAAAAGGUACAACAACAGUGUCAUAUAUGAAUGGUGGUAGGCUCACCUAUGGUUUAAAUUUUAGUGUAUGCAUCUCUUUGGAUGAAUUAUGCUGGUGGCUAAUUAGCCAGUCACAUUGCACAGCUUUUAUUGCAGUCUUUUAUGUGUGAAUGGUCAGUAAGUCACCUAUAAGAAUCUAGUGUUUGCAUCUCUUUGGGGGAACUGAAUUGUGGUUCCCUUUGGAUGCAACCACGGACAGUUUAACAAGUAGGCUAUAUAUGUAGAAAAAUGAAGAGUUUAUGAUAGGUUUUGAAUUGAAAAGGUACAACAACAGUGUCAAAAGAAGAAAUCUAAAUCAAAUUGUUCGAUUAAAGAAGAGUUGGUGGCUAGUUAGCCAUUCACAUAACUAGGCUAUUAUAUGUGAAUGGUAGUAGGCUCACCUAUAGUUUAAAUUUUAGUGUAUGCAUCUCUUUGGAGGAAACAGAAUUGCUGUUCCUUUUAGAUGCAUUCACUUACAGUU